rnacentral:rRNA from 1 species
UACGUAGGGUGCGAGCGUUGUCCGGAAUUACUGGGCGUAAAGAGCUCGUAGGUGGUUUGUCGCGUUGUUAGUGAAAUCUCACGGCUUAACUGUGAGCGUGCGGGCGAUACGGGCAGACUGGAGUACUGCAGGGGAGACUGGAAUUCCUGGUGUAGCGGUGAAAUGCGCAGAUAUCAGGAGGAACACCGGUGGCGAAGGCGGGUCUCUGGGCAAUAACUGACGCUGAGGAGCGAAAGCGUGGGGAGCGAACAGG